rnacentral:rRNA from 1 species
AUACAGAGGGUGCGAGCGUUAAUCGGAAUUACUGGGCGUAAAGCGCGCGUAGGCGGUCUAUUAAGUCAGAUGUGAAAUCCCAGGGCUCAACCUUGGAACUGCAUCUGAUACUGGUAGAAUAGAGUUUUGGAGAGGGAAGUAGAAUUUCAGGUGUAGCGGUGAAAUGCAUAGAGAUCUGAAGGAAUACCAGUGGCGAAGGCGACUUCCUGGCCAAAAACUGACGCUGAGGUGCGAAAGCGUGGGUAGCAAACGGGAUUAGAUACCCUUGUAGUCC